GGUAAUGACCUGACUAGCCUACGACGGAUACGGGUUGUGAGAGCAAUAACCCGGAGAUGAUAUCUGAGACACGAUAUCAGGCCCUACGGGGCGCAGCAGGCGCGAAACCUUUACAAUGUGCGAAAGCGCGAUGAGGGGAUCCCAAGUGCUUGCACGUAAGUGUAAGCUGUUUCUUUGUUUAAAAAGCAGAGAGAGUAAGGGCUGGGUAAGACGGGUGCCAGCCGCCGCGGUAAUACCUGCAGCUCAAGUGGUGGCCGCUAUUAUUGGGCCUAAAACGUCCGUAGCCUGCUGGGUAAAUGCCUGGGUAAAUCGUGUCGCUUAACGAUACGAAUUCCGGGUAGACUGCCUAGCUUGAGACCGGAAGAAGUUAGAGGUACUCCUGGGGUAGGGGUGAAAUCCUGUAAUCCUGGGGGGACCACCAGUGGCGAAGGCGUCUAACUAGGACGGGUCUGACGGUGAGGGACGAAACCCUGGGGCGCAAACCGGAUUAGAUACCCGGGUAGUCCAGGGCGCAAACGCUGCUUGCUUGAUGUUAGCUGGGCUCCGAGCUCGGCUAGUGUCGGAGAGAAGUUGUUAAGCAAGCUGCCUGGGAAGUACGAUCGCAAGAUUGAAACUUAAAGGAAUUGGCGGGGGAGCACAGCAACGGGUGGAGCGUGCGGUUUAAUUGGAUUCAACGCCGGAAAACUCACCGGAGGCGACGGUUACAUGAAGGCCAGGCUGAUGACCUUGCCUGAUUUUCCGAGAGGUGGUGCAUGGCCGCCGUCAGUUCGUACCGUAAGGCGUUCUGUUAAGUCAGAUAACGAACGAGACCCUCAUCCUUAAUUGCUACUGGCAACUCAGGUUGUCACGCACAUUAAGGAGACCGCUGGCGAUAAGUCAGAGGAAGGCGAGGGCAACGGUAGGUCAGUAUGCCCUGAAUCCUCCGGGCUACACGCGCGCUACAAAGGCCAGGACAAUGGGCUCCGACACCGAAAGGUGAAGGCAAUCUCGAAACCUGGUCAUAGUUCGGAUCGAGGGUUGAAACUCACCCUCGUGAAGCUGGAAUCCGUAGUAAUCGCAGAUCAAAAUCCUGCGGUGAAUAUGCCCCUGCUCCUUGCACACACCGCCCGUCAAACCAUGCGAGUUGGGUUCAAGUGAGGAUGUAGUAUUUGCUGCGUCA
rnacentral:rRNA from 1 species